GAGCCCCACUCCACCACCAUGUGGCUCUGCACAUGAAAGAGGAGGUAUUUUCCCGUGCGCUCACGGUGCGGCAGUGUGGAGACCUGCCGUAAGGCGCGGCCCUGCGGGGCGCGCGAGGCAGCUGCGGCGGAGGCCCGGCUGUCAGAGCGGAGAUUAUGU
rnacentral:ncRNA from 1 species